rnacentral:lncRNA from 1 species
CGUACAGGGAGGUAUUUCUCUCCUUCUAUCUCUUUCUUUUGUCUCUUUCUCUCUCUCUCUCUCUCUCUAAUCGUGUGAAGUAGAAUGAUGGAGAUGUUGGUGAAGUAGUGUGUGGAGCUAAGAAGGAUUUCAGCAGCAGGUUAUUUUGGUGGAGUAGAGAAAUUUGAGGUAAGUUGUGUUAAAGAUAUGCCUUCUUUUUUGGUUUGGUUCAUACACCGGAUUUAUGGAAAAAUAAAAAGGAUCUCAUAAGGAUUUAUUUUUGGUGGAUCCUAAUUUAAAUUGGAAUCCUAGAUAGACUAGGAUUGGUUUCCAUAUAAUACUCUAUAUUCAAUAAUCAUAUUGAAUUAGAGUAGGAUUGAGCCAAAUCCCUCUCUAUAUAUACAUGCAUAUGCAUGUACGGCUUGGUGAGGCGUGUGGUUAAAUUAAUUAGCAUUCACAGUCCGGCUAAUUAAUACACGGUGUCUCCUGUGGCCAUACGGGCGGAAGAGGCUGAGGAAGAGGCUUAAUUAAUUAGCCAUCGUGGACCGUACGGCUUCGGGUGCAUAGAAGCAAAUUAAUUAGCAUAAGGUGUAUUGGCUAAUUAAUUAACAUAGCACCAUCCGUACGGCAUAAGAAGGCUGCACCUUUGCAUGCGACGUCGGAUCGGAGUCGGCAGCAGGAGCGACGGUUCUCGACCAAUUGCCUGAGCGGUUCGGAUUCUUCGAAGCAACGGCAUAAAGGAAUUUGGUUAGAGUUUCUAUACUUCUCUAAUUUUGGUCUUCUCGGUUUUACGAAAAGCAUUUUCUGGUAUUUUCUUGGAGUUUUCGUUGGAACAAGAAAAUGUGGAAUUCACUAUAAGGUUCUUGGUUUUUUUAUCCGAAGAAGACAUAAGGUGUAAGCUUGUACUUCUAUUUCUUCAUAUAGUGGAAUACAUCUCUCUCGCUCUUCCCGUGGACGUAGGCAAUUGCCGAACCACGUAAAUCUUGGUUUCUUCUUUCUGCAUUUAUUUCUUUUACCGUUCGGUCGAUUUUCUCUAUUUUUCGUGCAUCUUUGUUGGUAGCACAUGACGGACGAUCCAUCCGGUUCCCAACAAGUUGAUGAUGCCUUUUUGGUUAGAGAUUAUCUUAAUUACCUUAGAAAGAGAUUAAGCCUUGGUUUCUUAGGUGCUAGAAGUGUAGCUGCCAUAGAAACCUAAGGAAGAAGCUUUGAAUGGAGUUGAAAGAUUGGAGGAAUUAAAGUUCUCGGCUGAGAGGAAAGUUCUUUGAGCAGAAAAUUUGGCCCGUUGGAGAGGAAAACUUGAGGUAAGAUGGCUGUGAUUUCUUGCUUAGAAUUGUGCUACUUACCCUAGAAAGGUUUGGAUAACAGAUGUUUUAUAGUUACUAUAACUUAUAUUACUAUGUGAACGUAGAAAUGAUGUUAUAAGCAGCUUGUGUAUAUAAGUUUGGGUUGAAGUAAAACUUGGGCUGUACUUGUCAGAAUUUAUGUUGCUUAACCUAAAGGAGAAAUUAGGUUAGAGUUUCUUAGGUUCUAAGCUGAAAUUGCCAUGAAAGCAAUCUAAAUUAAGCUAAUUGUUGUAUGUAUAUAUGUGAAAUAAGUAACCUGAGAUAAGUGGAUUUUAAUUCUUGAUUAGAGUUAUAGUAUUUACUUUAUAAAAGGAUUUCUUAAUUGCUAGAGUUUGAAGCCGCCAUGAAACCUAGAGAACAAACCCUAUGUUAUGCGUAAAAUGUCGGAUUUUCGACUACGCGGCUAAUUGUGAUCAAAUUGAUCAAAAUAAUGAGAAAAAGGAAAUUGGGUUGCUUCCGAGCUUAAUUGGUAGCUUUGGCAUAGCGUUUAGUACGUUUUGGAAGUGUUUGGAUGGACUCGGAAAGAACUAGAUGUGCAAAAGGGGCUGAAAACUGCUGCUGUCGGCUAUUGUUUAGUGCAGGGACUGAUUUGUAAACUGUUGGACUACAAUGCAGUUUUAGUCUUUUGAGGGGUUAAGAGGGCUUUAAAACAGGGUUUUUGUUGUGGGAGCUGAAAGCAACCGGUGGAACAUCGAAUUAAGGUAAAUUUGAUUAAAGAUUCAGUUAAUUACCUUUGGAGAAUAGUUAACUUGGAGUUCUAUAUAGUGUAUAAGUUGUGGAAAUGUGAAAAUUGCAUUGUGAAUCUUGUGUAGAUAAACUGAUUAGAGAAAAACUAGGGGGAAUUAAAUGUAUUCCCUGGUUUCGAUGACUUCCUUUGUUGUAUAGGAGGGUUAAACCAAGAGUUUCUAAGUAGUUGUAAAUUGUAGUAGUGUAGAAAAGCUGUAAAGAAGUAAAUUAUCAAAAUACGAGAGUUUGACUUUGUCCUGGAUCGACUAUUUGUCGAAUGGGAUGGCUUCGAAGAAGCCCAAGAUGUUAAAACGGGCCAAAGCGCGUUAACAUGGGGUCUACGAGAGCUUGGAGGCAAAAAUCUGCAAAUUGCAUAUUUUCAGCUCCAGGAGACCGGUCCCAAGUGGGGCAGACCGAUCUCCGCGCGCGCAGGUAGCCCAAACCGAGAGGGGGCAGCUCUUGGGUUUCAGCCUCCACGCAGAGGCAGACCGGUCCCAAGGGGGCAGACCGGUCUCGGAAGACCGGUUUCACCGGAGGGAGACCGGUUGCUACGCGCGUGAGCCCUGCCAGCCGAGAAGGCAGCUCUCGGAGACUUGUCCCAAGCAGCAUGAGACCGGUCUCCCAGGCCGCGAACAGCCCAGUGAGGGCGGUGCACAGGAUGAAACGUUGAGGGGCUAAAGUGAAUUUUGUUACAUUAGAAGGGUAUGUAGGCCCUCUCCCCCUCUCACUCUCUCUCAUUCCCAUCUCUCUCUCUCUCUCUCAUUCUCUUGCUCUAUCUCUCUAGAAGGAAAAGAAAGAGAAGACCUAGGAGAGGAAGAAGAAGGAAAAGAGAGGAGAAAAAGAAAAAAGAAAGAAAGGAGAAGAAGAAGGAGAGCAAAGAGGAGGACUUGGACCUCUCCCUCUCCCUCUCCCUCUUUUUUUCUCUUUGGAGCUAGCACAAGAGGUAAGCCCUAACCCUAGCUUUUGUAAACUUAGGGUUUUUGGGUUUUGAGCUUAGAAAUGGGUCAAAUGGACCCUUAGCAAGCUUCCAAAUAGAUCAAUCCUAAACUCUAGGGUUUUGAAAGAGAGGUUUGCUAUAGGUGCAAACCUAAGGCUCCAAAUUGGGGUCUUUGAUAAAUGAGGAGAUUGAUCUCAUUUGGUGGCUUGUAAACCUAAUUGGCGGGUGUCUAAACGCGUUGGGGAAGUCGGAAUUUCGAUUCGUCGAACGGAUAAAAACAUAUGAGCAAAAUGAUGUUGAUUAUGCUUCGUUUCGACCUAGGAGGCCGAGACUUCGAGGAAGCAAGUGCCGUGGAUCAUCCUUAGGACCUCUACGACGAAAGUAGCGAACGCGAGGUGGGGGGGUGUCAUCCCGAAGCUACCGAACCCUUUUCUAUGUCUUAGAACUAUUAGAAAUUUCAUCUCUUGCAUGUUGCAUUGUAGGGUUGCAUCGUAGUACCUUUCCUUAUGCUUUUCAAUGUUAACCUAGUGUAUAUGGAAUACUUGGUGAAAAAUGAAUAGGUAAGGAUUGGGUCGGAACAUGGAUCCUAUAGUGCUAAAAGAAAGAGAUGACUCGAGGUUAUGUGUUGACAUAGAAAAUGACAUGGUAUGUUUAAAGAACAUAGAUCGAGUGGCAUUGUAUGUUUAAAGAACAUAGAUCGAGUGGCAUUGUAUGUUUAAAGAACAUAGAUCAAGUAGCAUUGUAUGUUUAAAGAACAUAGAUCGAGUGGCAUUGACAUAGUGUACUUGACACUAGAGGUCGUGGACAUAGGGAUAGGUGAAUCCCUUAGAAAAUACCUUGUGAACAAUGAAUUUAAUUGAGCUAAAUACUGUUGCAUGUGUAUCGGAAUAGAGUUCCGAAAUAUUGUUAGCCCUAGUUUGUAGGGUAUCUUCACUUGGAGAGGAUAGAUCUACCUCACAGUCUACUACUUUGGGAUGGUAUAGCCAUUCAUAUCCUCACAUAGAGAGGAUGGUCGUCGAGUACUCCGGAGUGUCAGGCGAUAGGGACCACAUGGAGGUCCGUAGACAACCCCGGGUUUUGUGAGCACAUGGAGCUCCUCACCCAACGGGGGGUGUGCGUGAGGCGUAGGCAAACCCAAGGGUUGUGCCAUGGAUUGGGUAAAUGUAAAGUUAAUGUGUCAUCGAACAUUAUUAUCGCAUUGAACAUUGUAUAUCGAACAUGGAUCGAUUUGGUAGCAUGAUAGUAUCCUUUUACUAUGUGAUGCAUGCAUUCAUAUCUACAUGAUCAUGGGCAUAGUAGCAUAGUUUACUUUAUGCUUUUACUGCUUUGAAAUAUCAAUCUAUUUCGUUGUUGCUUAUGCCCACUUGGACCUAGUGGAGAGAUCGGCAGAGUCGGCGGCCGAGCCCACUGGGAACUAUGGAAGAUAGUUCUCACCCCACUAUAUUUUCAGUGGUAGGUACAGGUUUGCCAGGCGAGGACCGCGGCAAGGGCAUCGUGCCCGACCAGUGAGUUCGUGGUAGAUAGUAGCUUUCCUUUUUGCAUUUAGUACACCUAUGUAUUUAUGAAAGAGACUCAUGUAGGUGAGGUUGGAGAGCUAUGUAUUCGAUGAACAUGUGCCUAUUUUGAGGAAAUGAUGUAAAUGUUAAAGAUUGCAAAUUAUUGUAAUAGCUAGUAAAGUAUUCUCUUUAUUUUCACUUGUAUUUACUUGUGGAUUACUUGCUCUUUUGUUGUAGUUGGCACUAUUUGUGCCCAAGCGAUCAUAUAUGUUGAAUUUAGUUUUCCUGGGUAAAUUCUUGUAUAUGAUCAGGUUUGAGCCUUGGGCGGACAGGGGAGGUUCUAUCCGUUCGGCAUCCGCUUGCCGCGCCCGAAACGCGCCAAAUUGGUAGUGUUUUCGGGGCGGGGCGUGACAGAAGCAUUGAGAUUAGGUUGAAAUCAACAUGAAUGUACAUAUUGAUAUAGAUGUAUGUGCAUAGUGUUAGAAGUAGAAACCAGAACUUGGUUGAUCCUAUACCGUGUUUAAUUAUGUUAGUAUAUUCAGUCCAGGAAAGAGUUUAAACUAUAGAUUUUGAUUAUUAAGCCCAAAUGCUGAAAACUCGAUAUAGAACUAGUUUAUACUAUAGAUGUGUGUGUAUAUGUAUAUAUACAUAUAGAUGUAUAUGUGCCUAGUGUUAAGAUGGAAAAACUGAAUUAAGAGAGGUUGAAAUUAUGAAUUAGGAUGACUUAAUUACUGCAUAGAGAAGUUAAGCUAUGCCUAAUGCAGUUUAUAGAGUCAGAAUGAUAAUAUGUAACCUAUGGUAAGCUAUAGGUGAUAUAGUGGAUAUGUGACUUAUGAAUUAAAGUAAAACCUGUGGCAGAGCUUGUGAUGUUAACUAUUAAGAUUGAUGGUUACUACCCUAAAGAGAGUUAAUUAUGAGUUGUUUUAACUUCUGUAUCCGAACUGCCAUAGGGAAUUUAAUAGAAGAUUAUAUGUAUAGAGGUAUUGGCACUAUUCAUAUAUAUAUAUAUAUAUAUAUAUAUAUAUACUAUAUAUAUAUAUAUACUAUAUAUAUAUAUAUACUAUAUAUAUAUAUAUACUAUAUAUACAUUCAUAGAAGAAUAAAAGAUAUUAUAUUUAAGUACAUUCUUAUUUUUACAAAUUCCAUUUAACUUUAACAUAUAUAUAUAUAUAUAUAUAUAUAUAUAUAUGUUAAAGUUGAAAUGCGAAGUUUGUAAAAAUAAGAAUGUGACUUAAAUAUAAUAUCUUUUAUUCUUCUAUGAAUGAAGGUUAAACGUGCUCAGAAGCUUAGAUUGGUAUUCCGACGGUCCUACGGCGCACUAAUUACGAUAGACGUCGUUCUAGCUUUAUUCGCAUCAAGUCACGAGGACUUGAUAGUUGUGAGCUCCAAGACAUUGGUUCUAGUCUUCGGC